rnacentral:lncRNA from 1 species
CAUUUUUUAUUUUUGAGACAGGAUGUCACUAAAUUGCCCUGGCUGGCCUCAAACUUGAGAUCCUCCUGCUUCAGCUUCCCAAGUAGCUAUGAUUUCCAUACCUGGCUGGCCAAAAUGUCUUCUGUGUUGGAAUUGCCUGUUUUGGGCUUUUUAGGCAGCUGUUGUGAACUUCCAGCUGCUUUGGAUUUCAGCUUGGGAGCAGCCAGUUGAUUUUAAAUUAGAAACACUUUGAGGUGUUGCAGUUUGAUGGUUCACCCUCCCCGCACUGUCUAAUGGUGGUUGUGGCUGGAGUUUUCCUAAGAGGCCUGGAGCAUGGGAGGAGAGCGGACCUAAACUUGGGGUGGGAGAUAGCACUCUUCCCCUUCUGGUUGGCUGCCUGGUCUGGAGGUUUUGGGGAAUGGGAAAAUGGAAUUUGAGGACAGGGCACCUUUCAAAUUUUCACAGCACAACUCAAGCCAAAGCUUACAGAUCCCCCCUUCCUUCUUUUUUAGUUUACAAUUAACAUUCAAGGUUUAGUCUCCACCCCCUCUUGAAAUGGAAUUUUUAUCUCUUGAUUCAUGCUAUGAGAUAAAAUCCCUGUUUAUCCAGUUGCAUGAAUAAUUGGCAAGCUCCUUCUCACUUGCAGAGCAACCUAGCUGUCUUGCUCCUGGUCUGCAACCCCUGGCAAUUUCCGGAGCACUGGUGAGAGACCUUCGCACAAUUUCUGCUUGGAGUCCACCGACUUCCCGUCUCGGGUGGAGGUUUAUCUCUCGAUCAAGGUCUGGACAGCUACCUGUUAUAUUUGGCUCAUGCUAGCUGAAAAAAAGAAUUUACAGCCUGUGCUGCAGAAUAUCCCAGUUCUUCAAGGCCAAGCCCCUCCCCUACCAAUUCCUUCCUGCUACCUCCGUGUGGUGACUUUGGAAGCCAUCAGCUCAGUGGAAUGAAGGUAGAGCCCUGAGGUUCUGUCGUGGAGUGGACUUAC